ensembl:lncRNA
UGCAAGUGAUCGUACUGAAAAUAACCGUAGUAACAAUAAUGACAAUAAUGACAGUGAUGACAGUAAUGGCAGUAAUGGCAGUAAUAACAGUAAUGGCAGUAAUAAUAAAAAUGAUUCGAAUAAACCUAGUAAUAAUGUCCAACAAUCAUAUUGUUUUCCCUCCACAAAACAAAAAAUAAAAAAGGAAAAUAUUUUAUUUGUUUUUGGUAAAGAGUUUGAUUAUAUUAAUAACUUUUUAUUUUUAUAUAAAUUACAUUCUAUUAUUAAUAAUUCUAUAAUAGAUUUAAGAAGAAUAUUUUUCACGUUUGAAGACUUAAAUAGUUAUAUAAAUAAUUUUGUUACAUUACAUUAUUUAUGUGUAUAUAAACACUUAAAUAGUAUAUGCGAACAUGUAAAAAAACAUAUACAUAAUUAUAAACCUAUUUCUUUUCAUUUAUCACGUUUUAUUCAUAUAAAAUAUCAAAAACAUUAUUCCAAUUACAAUAACAAAAAUAACCAACUCAGUUAUUACUACUGUUACAAUAAUGAGAAUGUAAAAAAGAAUGGAGAGGAUAAUUUUCAAGGACAAUGUAUGUAUGCCAACGAAGCUGACGCUUUAAACAAUUGCAAGUCAAAAAAAGUAAAUAAAAUAAAAAUUUAUAAUGAAAAAGAAAGGGAUAAAGGAGAAAAUAAAACAGGAAAUAAAAGUGUAAAUUUAGUUUACAGUGAUAAAAAACACUAUAAGACCACAAAAUUAAAAGAGACAGAAAUUUUAUUAGAUACAAACGCAUUGAAUUAUGCUAACAAACUAAAUAAAAUAAAAUUAUGUUUAAAAAAAAAAAAAAAAUUAUAUACACAUAUUUUUAAAAAAUAUGUUAAGUUAUAUAUUUUUUACAAAAAAUUUCCCAAUAGUGUUAAAACAAAACUUACAAAAUUUUAUUGUAUGUAGUUUAUAUUUUAUAAAAGAAAAACUGCAAAAAAAAAAUGCUUCGAUGUUGUUCGGUACCAUUCUUUUAAAUAUAUAUUUAAAAAAAAAAAUCAUAAACAAUAAUUUAUUUUUAUUUUCAGAAAAUGUAACAAAUAUUAGUCACUGUUCAACCAAUUUUUUUUCAAGUAGUAAUAAAAAGGAUCAAUAUGUUUUCAUUUUAGAUUAUUUUUUUUUUCUUCUUUUUUUCUUUUAUCCCAAACCAAAAAAGGCAUCUUACAAAAAACAGAUAAUAAAGAAUUAUUUAAACAUCCUGAAAAAAAGAUUGACUAACGAGGGAAUAGUAAAAAAAAGCAGAAAGAUUCAGGCGUUACAAUUGUUUUGUUUUUAUUCUGGAAAUGUUAAUAACACAGAUGCAAGUAUAGACAUAAAUAAUCAAUCAGUAGGUAACCCCUCUAAGGAUAUAAUAGUUAACAAAGAAAAAAUAUAUCCCAAGUUAUUUCUAAAUGAUAGCAACAGUAACAAUCACAAUUAUAAUAAUGUAUUAAAAAAUAAUGAAGAAACUUAUAUGAACACAUUUUCAGAAAAGCAAAAAAAAAUUUUGGAAACAUGUGAAUAUUUUGAUUUUAAAGAUUUUAGUAACUUAGGUCUAUUCGAUUAUAUAAAAAAUAAAAAAUCAUUAUUCAACAAAAAAAAUGACGCUAAAAAAAGUGACGCUAAAAAAAUGUUCGCUAAUGAAAUUUGUUUAUUAAAUAAGUUUGUUUUUAAUUGUUUAUUUUCUUUUAGCCUACUACCUAAUUUUUAUGAAAAUCUUAGGAUUUAUAUAAAGCAAUAUUUACAUAAACAGAAAGAUGAUUUUAUUUGUUUAUUUCAAAAAAGUUUAAAAGAAAAAAAAAAAAAAAAAAAUAUUAAUAAGACUAUUUGCAAGGUUAUUAAAUGUAAUAACGAUAAGGAAAAAAACGAGUUUAAACAAAAUACAAUAAUGGAAGAUUUAAAAAAAAAAAUAAAAAAUAAAAAACAAAUAUGUGAAAAAGCGCUUAUAUCAUGGAAUACAAAAAAAAAGGUAAACAAUUUAUCCAAUCGUUGGGUCUUACAUAUAUAUAUAUAUAUAUAUAUAUAUAUAUAUGCAUUUUUACUUAAUAUGUAGUCUUUCUUUUACCAACGAUAUAUGUGACAAAUGUUUAUAAAUAAUGUGCAUAUGUAUUAUAUAUAUAUAUAUAUAUAUAUAUAUAUACAACUAACCAUACAUGAAUGCAUAUAUAGAUAUAUACAUACAAGUAUGUUAUUUAUUUUUUUACUUUUUCCAUAUUAGAUAAAGAUAAAGGAUAUUUUAAUAUUUUUCUUCGAAAACUAUUAUUACAACAAUUAGAAAAAAAUGUAUAUAUACAUAUAUACCUUUACAUAUAUACAUUUACAUAUAUACAUUUAUAUAUAUACAUAUAUACAUAUACAUAUAUGUAUAUAAUAACUUGAAUCAAAGCGAACAAAAAAGAAAGUAGUAACUUGACUGUAACAUAAAAUUCGAUCAUGUUACAAUGACACGAAAUGAAAAAACUUAAAACAUACAUAUAUGUAUAAAUAAUGUUGCAACAUCAACAGUAAUGUGCUUUAAUUUAUCAAUAUACGUGUCAAUCAUUUUUAAAUAAAACAAAUAUAUAUGAUUAAUGAUACA